UUUCCCUCUCAUUUUCAUUUCCAAAUAAGUUCUAUUUUCCUUAAAAAAUAUCUUCAUUGACUUUCAUCGAAACUUUUGGGAGAUCAGAUUCAGAGAGAGAAAACGGAAAUUGUGGAGUUUAGAGAGAGAAAGUAGGAAAUGUGGAGAGAGUCUGUUAGGGUUUCUGGAAAUGGACUACCCUGAAUCUACCAUACCCUCCGCAGGGGACGCUACUGAAACUGUUCCCGUCCAAGUACAAGAACGGAACUCUAUACCUUUUCUAUAAAUAAAAUAUGUAAAAUUGGGGAAUUUUAUACCUUUUUUUUUCAUACGAUUUCGUUUGGGUUAAUUAAUUUUUUUUUAUGAAAUUUACACACAUGGACACAAAAUGUAUGCCAUUUAGAUGUGUAAAUUUAUAGCAUUUUUUUAGUUUUUACUUGACUUUAUGUGCAUAAAUUAAUUUUAAGCUGAUUUGCACUAUUUUGGUAAUGGGGUGAGGAUUUUAGUUGAAUUUUUAGAUGGGUAUUGUAAUUUUAUAUCUGUGUAAUGUGUUUUCCCUUUUGGUAAAUUUAGAUACUAUGUGGCACUGUACUCGGUCUCAUAUCAUUUAAUUUUUCGUUCUCCCAAGAAAUGCAUCUGGUUCAUGUUUUUGACAGUUAACUUAAACCAAUCUGCUCUAGCAUCUUAUCAUACUCUACUCAUCUAUACAGAAGCACAUAUGUUGCAUGGACCAUUCAUCGAUGCUUUGAAUUGUGAAGUAAGAUUAUCCUGUUAAAACAAUCUGUAAAAUUGAUGCCAAAUGUAAUUUGAAGCAUAAUUCUCUUAGGCAUUAUUUAAUCUUUGUGAACAAUGGUUUAAACUAUAUUGUUUGUUAUCGAUUUCUAUUAGAAGUGCUUAAUUUGAUUUGGAUUUUUUUUUUUUUUAAAGAAAAAGAAAUUCAACAUGUUGCAUCAAUUGUGCUGAGCUUUAGGUAGUUCGGAUUUUGACUUUCUUCAAUUUUGGUGCCAUAUGACACAUGCUAAAAAUGAUAGAAGGUACUCUGUUUAUUGAUGUCGAUAACAUUUUGGUCGCAGUCAUACAUGUCAAUGGAUCUUAAGAGCAUAUGUCAUAGUUAUAUGAUAAUAAACCAAUAUUUAGAGAGGAUGCACAUGUAUCUCCAAUUUAUAUGGAUAGAGAAGUUUGUUGAAUUAUAACCUUUAGCACUCACAUUAAUUGAAAAAAUUAUAAGCAUUUUUGCACAUAUAAAUCACAUACUAAGUUCUAGUAGAUUUUAUUUAAAUGGCAAGUAUAGAAAAUAAUUUUUGCUUGGAUUCUAGUGAAACAAUAUCUUGGAGUGAAGAAAGUAAUUUUUGCUUGGGUUCUAGGGAAACAAUAUCUUGGAAUUUUGAAAAUUGCUCUUUGUUAAAUCAGGUAUUAAACAUUACUAGAAAUUUUAACUCACAAGGUUUGUACAAAUUUAUUAGGCUGCUCAACACCAUGGCUUGCAUGUACGUAGUCUCCAGUUUGAAGAUGCUCAGCAGAAAGUAGUAACAAAUAGGCAUGUACAAAACACUUCAGGUAUUGAAAAUAGUUCUAGGCCACUUGCCUCUUCUGCAGAUAGAGGGGGCCCCAAAUCACUAUCCUUGGAGACACCAUCAACUCCCAUUCGUCGGGUUGGUAUGACCCAGCAUACGGAUUAUCCUGGAAAUAGUGGGAAUUAUAGCAUAAAUUUUCCAAAGCCCGUAGGUAUUGGCUUGCACCUAAAUAGCAUUGUCAGCACUACGCAAGCAGGAACUGGAGAAACUGUAAUUGUGAAAUCAUCUGAAAAGGGUAUUUUAAGUAUACGGAAUGAGCAACAAGUGACUACUCUGAGCUCUCAUCUAUCUGAAAACUCAAAGAACUCUUCAUAUUUGUCUGUGUUGGAGAGUGUUCUCGGAAGUCCUGAUGAAAGUAGGCGUGAAAGUGAUCAUGCCUUGGUGGCAGCUAAUUCUGCUAUUUCUGUGUCCACUUAUGACGCAAAACCUUUGGACAACCCUAUGGUCUGUAAUCCAAUUGAGGAUCAAUCAACUCCAGUUAACAAGAGGAAGUCUAACGCUGGAAAUGCUGAUGAUGCAGAGGAGUUUAACAAGUCAAGCCCCAAAAGGAAGAGGCAAGCCUACAACUUAUCUUAUGAAUAAUGAGUUUUAUUAGUUGUCUCCAUUUUUACUACAUUAUUUUAGCUGCAAUUUUUCCAGGAAGAAAACACCCGAGUCCAAUGAUGAUUACAGUAGCAAACUUUGCAACUGCAAGAAGUCUAAAUGCUUGAAGCUGUAAGCGCAUAAAAUGUUUUCUUACAAAUUUAGAUUUACACUUCUAUCACGUGCUUUUGUAAUUUGUUUCCUUGUAGUUACUGUGAUUGCUUUGCUGCUGGAAUAUAUUGUGCGGAACCUUGUUCUUGCCAAGGGUGCUAUAACAGGCCUGAAUAUGAGGAUACGGUUCUAGAGACACGCCAACAAAUUGAAUCUCGCAAUCCUCUGGCAUUUGCUCCAAAGAUAGUACAGAACUUCAUUUAUCCAUCUUCAAGCAUUUGUGGGGUAUUGAGGCAUCGAAAUUUAUAAUUUUGCUGUACAACAGUGCAAUGUUAACUGAAUUAUUAAGUUGAAAUGUUCACAGGAAGAUGAGACUCAGUUAUCAAAGCCCUCCAUAAGGCACAAAAGAGGGUGCAAUUGCAAGAAGUCGAUGUGCCUCAAAAAGUACUGUGAGUGCUAUCAGGUACGUGGGUGUGCUUAUGGGCAUGAUUAUCUACGUUGUUUUUUCGUGGGGUUGGGGCUUAGAACCUCUGAGUCAUGCUAAGUACUACUUAAUUGCAUUUGCUCUUAUAAAAUGAGUUUUUUUACCUUAUGAUAGGCAAAAGUUGGUUGUUCUGAUGGAUGUCGAUGCGAAGGAUGUAAAAAUGACUAUGGCCAAAAGGGAGGUAUGAUUUGCAUUUGAAGUUCUGUUAUCA
rnacentral:lncRNA from 1 species